UCGGGCCUCUCGCGUCAGGAUAUGCCUAGGUGGGAUUAGCUAGUUGGUGAGGUAAGGGCUCACCAAGGCGACGAUCCCUAGCUGGUCUGAGAGGAUGAUCAGCCACACUGGAACUGAGACACGGUCCAGACUCCUACGGGAGGCAGCAGUGGGGAAUAUUGCACAAUGGGCGCAAGCCUGAUGCAGCCAUGCCGCGUGUGUGAAGAAGGCCUUCGGGUUGUAAAGCACUUUCAGUCGUGAGGAAGG
rnacentral:rRNA from 1 species